UUACAAAUUUGGAUUCGCAUUCUUGCCUAGGCUUUGGGCUGUCUGUUGCUUCUACUUCUGGCCUGGUCCCUUCUAUUCUCGCUCUUUCCCUCGCAUUCGUCCUCGUAGGUAAAAAAAAAAAUCUCCAAAUCUCGCAACAUUGUGAAUGAUUUGUAUUGUUUCACUUGAAAUUCGUAUGCCGAGAUCGAAUUGAUUACUUCUUUGCAAGCCUCCAUUUUGUUGGUUAGUUUAAUGAAUAGUGGCUGUCCUUCUUGGAUAACAGAGUGUAAACAUUGCCUGUAUUAUGUAUGAGUAGUUUGUGUUUUGAACGAGUGAGGUAUGUGGCUCAGGUGGUAUUGCUCUGCCUUCCUUGCAACAACGUUUAGGGAAAACAGUGUUUCCUUACUGAGUCAUUUUCUCUUGAUAUUGUUUCACUUUGUUAGUUUUUUUCCUUAUUGCAAAAAAAGGGGAUUGUAUUAUCUUAUUUGGGGCUGAUUGAGGUUGGGGGAACCUCUGGCAAGGAAAAAAAAAAUUGUUAGGCGAAAAGAAUGCCAUCAAACUCAUCUGUUAUGUAGCAAUGACCUAUAAUGUAGUUAAUGCUCUCAUGAAAUUACCAUUGAAGCAUGAACUUAACUUCUUUCUGUGGAGGCUGGUUUUGGCUGUUGAUUAUGUUGUUAGAUCAGCUAGCAGUAGGUUCACAGUAUUUACAACUCUUCUUCUUUCGUGGGCCUUGACAUUUUCCAUUGGAGGGGAGCAACUCUUUGGCCUUGUCUGGGAUAAACUACUAAUGUACAAUGUUGCUGAUAGAUUAGGCUUGACAGGUUCGUUUAGUCAUAUGCUCCUUUUCUAUAUGACACUAUUCAGCUAUCAUUUAGUUCUUUUUCUUUUUAUUUCCUAAAUUAGCAUUGUUGUCGGGUUUUGAAUACAUUCCUGUACAUUCCGUCAUUGGAGCAGCUUAAAUUGCUAUGUCAUCUUCAUCUACACCGUCUGUGUUGAAGUAUUUACCCCCCGAAGUAAAUGAAUGAAGAUUUAUGUAACUCUUUUAAUAUGCCACUCACGCGUCCUAUGACACAUGAUAAUUUGUGCAACAUCAAUGCCAUCCAGAACUUCCAAUUCCUCAAAUGCACAAGCCGCCGGUCCGAUGGAGCACACCUGUGAUAUGGAUCCUGGAUGUAUGCGUACACAUAUAUAAUAUUCGGGGUAGGGUAGAAUAAUAUUUAUUAUUUCUAACUUUGGUUUUUUGGAUUUUAUUAUCCAAAUUUGAUCUAAACAAUUACUAUUUAUAGAAUAUUUAAUUUAUUUGGGUCGGUUCGGAUGAUCCAUCAUCAAGCAUGGAUGUAAUUGUCAUCCUAACGAUAACAAAUUGAUGGGGAAGUGUUCAUAUAUGACGAAACCUCCCAUUGAUAUGGUGAACGACUUUCAUAGGUGUUCUUCUAUGUUGUUAAACACUAAGCUUGCAUGUCUUCCCUUGAUCAGAGUUGGGAUUCAUAAAUUCAGACUCCCCAUUUGGGAUGUAUUCUACCUAUGAUCAGUUUGCAAGAAAAGGGAAGGGGAGUUAGCUAGCUAGCCACCUAAUCCUCGUCACCAGAUUCUGGCAAAACCUUGAAGACGGGAAGCAGCACUACCAGCGGCCACCAACGUUUUUAAGCAUCAAAACACAAACCCCAUAAGCAACGAACAUCUGAAUUCUCAUGAUUCCUUGUAACUUGUUCUUCAAUGUAGAAGCAGGAGUACGCAGGCCACCUCAUCCUUGGGAUAUCUUGUCUAAUACUCUUGUUACAGCCCGAUCAA